ensembl:lncRNA
GGGGGUAGGUGUGUCGGGUAUUCUGUGGAUCACCUAUAGGGGAUAUAUAUCGAACCAGUGCAGAAUGAAGAUAACCCUGAUCCUCCAAACACCCUGAUCCUCCAAACACCCUGAUCCUCCAAACGUCUGAGCGCUAGGCUAAGCUAGUAGACUCGUCAUAGCGGCUGCAGAAGAAAGGAGAAGAAAGAAAAACAGCUACUACAACCUGCACAACUAUGCCUACUGACUCAGGUGCUGAUAUUCGGUUGAAUAAUCAAAGAUCGAUACUCGGUGAUCGGACCAAUGUGGGGGCCAGCAGUAGUUAUGGCGAGUUAUUAGUACACACGCUAUUAUCAUACAUGUAUUACAUCUAUUUUAUUGGGCAUUUAAUAAUGAAUAAAAAAAUAAAUAAAAAAUAAAUAAAGACCAUCCAACCCUAACCCCUGUAUACUUUUGUCUUUUCUGUUUUUUAAUGGUUUACGUAUAGUACCUAUCGUGGAUGGUGUGAAACAGUGGACCCCUGGAUCAAACCGUCUAACCAAGAAAAAUAACAAAAGACCCCAUCUAGGAACGGCUCUACCUCUACCCAGCUCUCCGCUAGCAGUGGUGCAACAGCAGAUCCCGUAUAAAAAGGGACGCAAGGACACCGCACAUAGUGUUUUAACUCCAGAGAAUCUUAACUUGGUUCUCCAUGCUGUUAUAAACCCUGAAAUCGCCCGCCAAGGGGGUGGAUGGUCUGAGUCCAAACAGCCGUUGAUUGAGACAUCAGUUGUACCUGUGUCUGAGCCGCCUGCAGAGACCGUUACUGUACAGCCGGAUGGAGGCAUUCAGCAUG